rnacentral:rRNA from 1 species
GUUUGUUUCUGAGACUGGAAUACACCCAAUCUCAUCUGAUCUGCAAAGCUAAGCAGGGUUGGGCCUGGUUAGUAUUUGUGGAUGGGAGACUACCUGGGAAUAACCAGGUGCUGUAAGCU